GCGUGAGAUUGAUCCCACGGAGCAAAUGCGCCCCUUUCCCAUGGUCUGGAAUGGACUCCGUCCCAGGCAAAUUGGAGUUGCAGUUUGUCGGAGGUGGUCCUGUCCUCCGUGGCCAGCUCCAUCCACUGUGGGUUUGAGGGAAGCCCUCCUGAUUUCGUCACCAUCAUCACACCUGCUGGAGGAUGGUCACGUGCUGGAGCACGCAGGAGUGGUGCUGUGUCUGAAUCUGGCACCGAGCGCAGGCAGGGAGAGGUUCACGUGGUGAGAUCUGCCUUGGGAACCACCCUCUCCAAAGCCGACAUCCUGUGAGAUUCACGAGCAGUGUUCUGAGCCUUCUCAGCAGUGCCUCUUCCUGCUAUGGACGCUCAAUGCCUGUCUGGUUAAUAAAGGACACGAAC
ensembl:lncRNA